rfam:Salmo salar isolate Sally breed double haploid chromosome ssa04, whole genome shotgun sequence.
UGCACGAAUGACUGUAAGUCGUUCUGGAUAAAAGCGUCUGCUAAAUGGCAGCUU